CAGGUGCUUAAUGGUGAGAACACAGGGGACCUUUCAAAAGUUUAGGUCGUGUUACUGCAAGGAUUGCAGCAUCCAGUGGCAGACACACGACUGGGACAGACAUGACUGGACCCAUGUUCCAAAUAACUUCUUGCAGUGGCCCCUGAGAGAAGUUAUGUGUGAAUAUCAACUUUAUCACAAAGAACUUGCAGGAGAGCAGCAAUUUUUUCCAAAACAGAAUUGGAUUAGUUUGACAUAUGGAAGAUGGCUGUUUUUGAUGCUGUGAGGAUUCAGUGAGGAAACAUAUUUUUCAGAAGAAUGUGCACAGCAACUUUCAACAACCACAGACAGUUGGCUUUAGGAGGUCAUUUCAUGGCUGGGAGAGAUGGAAGUGGUUUGAAGAUGUGAUUUUUAUGGAUGGAAAACUAUGCCUUUGGUUCUAAGGAAACUCAUUUUUAUUGGAGAAAUGAGACAGAACAGUACAUGAGUACAACUAAAGGUUGUUAUAGUUAUUUUUCCCCUCCCUUCUCUUCCACCUGACCCCCAACCCUCUUGUGAGAAUGCAAUAGGUUUGUAGGAAAUGAAGUGCUAGGAUCUCAAUGUAUGCUAUUCCUCAGACCUAAUCUCUGCUCUCUGUGCUCAUAUAUACUUUUAUUAUCCCUCUUACAUAUAUUUUGUAAGAAAAAAACAAAAUAAUCUUAGCAUACUCUUCAAUACUCUUAGUAUUGAAACUAAUUUGUAUAAUAUUCUAAAAAUUCUUCUAACCCUG